CAAAGCUAAUCCCCUCGGGUGGCAGCACUUCUCAACCUCUCCGUGCAAUUUCCGAGCCUUCGCUAGCAUCAAUCGGUGUGAUAGAGAUCCGCUGCUGCUGUUUCUUCAAACAAUUGGUUCUUCUGUGAUUAGAACCGUCAGCCUCUUCCGGCCACUCGCUCCCGUCUGCGAGAAGGGGGCGGCGGCCGCCGCGGCGGAGAGUCGCCCUGAGGCAGCAGCGGGUUUCUGCCGUUCGUUUUGGCCGUGUAGAGACAUAUUACAAUGAUUGGAGGUGUUAUGCUGUUUAACAUCAAGGUGGAACCACUUGUAGCUGGCGGAACAGACCCAAAGAGUGUUGAUCCAGUAGGAUAAGUUGUGUUGAGGACGGAUGAGCUUGUGCUGUCAAUGCAGGACAUUUACCUUGUUGAUGGAUACUGACAUGUUGAAGUACCUGUGAGAGUAAACAGUGAGAUUGCCCAGAAAUUAGAUGUUAUAUCAACAACUAUCAUAACGUACUGCAUGGUUUGAGAAGAGUUUGGUUCUCGAUGCUGGUGAGCGCAACUCUGUCAACCCGAUUGUGUGAAGGCUUCUCAAGCUUGAUAAUGGUGGCAAUGAAGUAGUAGCUUGUUCAACCAACAUAGAGAUGGGUCAAAAUGCAGAGAGUUUGUACUAACCAGAGGAGAAUAGAAGGCCCAACAGGAAGAUGAGAUACGAGACGACAUUUACAGACAUAUCUCCAAUGGCUUCCCUCAACCUCUCUUUGUCUUCUCUUCUGUUGUUGCUCUGUUUCAGAUGCUCGAGGAGAGUGAUGCUUCUAGAGAGAACAGAGAAGUCUACUUAAGCAGUAAAAAGGACUUAAUUUACUUCAUCUAACGGUAUAUAUGACAGGACAGAAUCAGAGUUUCCUUCACGGUGUAAUGGAGAAUAAGAGGAAGCUUGUGAAAGAAGGAUGGGAGGUUUGGAGGUGCACGCAAGAUAGGGUGGUAUUAAAGAGCAGAAAGGAGAAGUUUGCAGAGGAAAGCAGCAGUGGAAGAGGAUGAUGGUGUGGAAUGAAGAAUCCUUGUGUGGGCUGGCUAAUGAUGGUGAUAAUGAUGAUGAAACAAGGGGCGGUGGUUGAGGUGGCAAUCUCUCCUUUAUGCUACACUUUUACUGUUCCAUGAGAUUAAAUCAUAUGGGAAAGCCUGGGAUCAAGCAAGAGCUUGCCAGUGGCAGUAAAUCUGUCUUAAGAUCAUCUUUUGCUUCUUGCAGCCUGGGAGCAAGAGCUUGCCAGUGGCAGUGGCUCAAAGAACCCAGAUUACUCGACUCCACUCUUCUUCCAUAAGCCUAGUCAACCUGGAACUAGAGUGCUGGCACGAAUUUUGAGAUCGGACCCUGUGAUAUUGGUGCGUGAUUGUGGAUAGAUACUGAUCUCUGUGUCAAACACUUUAGCUAGAUAUCUACAUGAACAUAAUUGUAGAUAGAUACGUGGCUGAUAAUAACAAGCUUAUUUGAGAUGAUA